AUUGAACGCUGGCGGCAGGCCUAACACAUGCAAGUCGAGCGGCAGCUGGAAGUAGCUUGCUACUUUGCCGGCGAGCGGCGGACGGGUGAGUAAUGUCUGGGAAACUGCCUGAUGGAGGGGGAUAACUACUGGAAACGGUAGCUAAUACCGCAUAACGUCGCAAGACCAAAGAGGGGGACCUUCGGGCCUCUUGACAUCAGAUGUGCCCAGAUGGGAUUAGCUAGUAGGUGGGGUAAUGGCUCACCUAGGCGACGAUCCCUAGCUGGUCUGAGAGGAUGACCAGCCACACUGGAACUGAGACACGGUCCAGACUCCUACGGGAGGCAGCAGUGGGGAAUAUUGCACAAUGGGCGCAAGCCUGAUGCAGCCAUGCCGCGUGUAUGAAGAAGGCCUUCGGGUUGUAAAGUACUUUCAGCGGGGAGGAAGGUGUUGAGGUUAAUAACCUCAGCAAUUGACGUUACCCGCAGAAGAAGCACCGGCUAACUCCGUGCCAGCAGCCGCCGUAA
rnacentral:rRNA from 1 species